CUGCCCAAGAGACUGGGAUAACACCUGGAAACAGAUGCUAAUACCGGAUAACAACACUAGACGCAUGUCUAGAGUUUGAAAGAUGGUUCUGCUAUCACUCUUGGAUGGACCUGCGGUGCAUUAGCUAGUUGGUAAGGUAACGGCUUACCAAGGCAAUGAUGCAUAGCCGAGUUGAGAGACUGAUCGGCCACAUUGGGACUGAGACACGGCCCAAACUCCUACGGGAGGCAGCAGUAGGGAAUCUUCCACAAUGGACGAAAGUCUGAUGGAGCAACGCCGCGUGAGUGAAGAAGGGUUUCGGCUCGUAAAGCUCUGUUGGUAGUGAAGAAAGAUAGAGGUAGUAACUGGCCUUUAUUUAACGGUAAUUACUUAGAAAGUCACGGCUAACUACGUGCCAGCAGCCGCGGUAAUACGUAGGUGGCAAGCGUUGUCCGGAUUUAUUGGGCGUAAAGCGAGUGCAGGCGGUUCAAUAAGUCUGAUGUGAAAGCCUUCGGCUCAACCGGAGAAUUGCAUCAGAAACUGUUGAACUUGAGUGCAGAAGAGGAGAGUGGAACUCCAUGUGUAGCGGUGGAAUGCGUAGAUAUAUGGAAGAACACCAGUGGCGAAGGCGGCUCUCUGGUCUGCAACUGACGCUGAGGCUCGAAAGCAUGGGUAGCGAACAGGAUUAGAUACCCUGGUAGUCCAUGCCGUAAAC
rnacentral:rRNA from 1 species